GACGAACGCUGGCGGCGUGCUUAACACAUGCAAGUCGAACGGAAAGGCCCUGCUUUUGUGGGGUGCUCGAGUGGCGAACGGGUGAGUAACACGUGAGUAACCUUCCCUUGACUUUGGGAUAACUUCAGGAAACUGGGGCUAAUACCGGAUAGGAGCUCCUGCUGCAUGGUGGGGUUUGGAAAGUUUCGGCGGUGGUGGAUGGACUCGCGGCUUAUCAGCUUGUUGGUGGAGGAGUGGCUUACCAAGGCUUUGACGGGUAGCCGGCCUGAGAGGGUGACCGGCCACAUUGGGACUGAGAUACGGACCAGAGUCCUACGGGAGGCAGCAGUGGGGAAUAUUGCCCAAUGGGCGGAAGCCUGAUGCAGCAACGCCGCGUGCGGGAUGACGGCCUUCGGGUUGUAAACCGCUUUAGCCUGUGACGAAGCGUGAGUGACGGUAAUGGGUAAAGAAGCACCGGCUAACUACGUG
rnacentral:rRNA from 1 species